AGUCAUCUUUCUAUCUCCAGUCGCCAUCUCACCAUCUCUGCGUUCAGCCACCACAUUGUUCAUCAUCGUCGCCACGUUGUGUUUUCUUUUGGAAUUGGAAGCCAAAUCAAUCGACCCCUACAAGGUUCUUGGGGUUGAUAAAACUGCCAGUCAACGAGAAAUUAAGAAGGCUUUUCACAAACUCUCUCUUCAAUAUCACCCUGAUAAGAACAAAGCCAAAGGUGCAC